GUCUCGGAUAGCUUAACUGAUAGAGCUUUUAGCGCGUAACCAAACAAUUCGGGUUCGAGUCCCGGUCUGGGCG
rnacentral:tRNA from 1 species